AUGGCAGGGCAGGGCAGGGCAUGGCAGGGCAUGGCAGAGCAUGGCAGGGCAGGGCAUGGCAGAGCAUGGCAGGGCAUGGCAGAUGUGCUGGCGGGCACAGCGGAUUGACUUGAAUAUCAACUUGACCUGACCGUAAGUAACUGAUUUUGAACGAAUGUAUUUUUUAUGAUAACAUUCCUUAGUUGCUGAAGCCAGACAUGAGCAUGAAAUAUCAGUUUACAAACAUUACUAUCGCGACGAAGCCAUUCCUCACCAAAGCUAAUCUACUUAAUGGGCCUUGUUAGCAUCUGAAUGUCUAGGUCAGACAUGGGCAAACUACGGCCCCCGGGCCACAUACGGCUAAGAUAUUGUAAGUAAUAUACUGACAAGACAUUCAGGCAAGGCCUCACAGCUUUCAUCCUUUAAAGAUGGCAAAUAUUUUAAGUUAAAUGAGUUUUAUUCAGAUGGGGAGCUAAGAAUUUCACCCAUACUUUAUGCGGAUGAUUUUGAAAUAUGUAAUCCGCUUGGAACCUCGCGGAAACAACAUAAAGUGACAGCCUUCUAUUGGGUACUUGCAGAUGUGCCCUCAGAAUUGAUAUCCCAAUUAACAUCAAUUAAUGUGACACUACUUUGCAAAGCUAAUGAUGUUAAGACAUUUGGCUAUGAAACUGUCCUGGAGCCUCUCUUGAAGGACCUUAUUAUGUUAGAGGAAGAAGGCAUUUUUUUCCUUGCCAUUUGUAAAAAUAUCAGAGGAACAGUUUUUUGUGUUUCAGCAGAUAAUCUGGGUGCUCAUGCUUUGAGUGGUCUGGUGGAAAGUUUUAAUGGGCAUUACAUAUGUAGAUUUUGUAGUGGGGACCAUUCAGACUACCAGCAAAAAGAGGUGCAUUCUGGAUUUUUUCCACCAAGAACAAAGGAGAAUUGUACAUCACAUGUUCAAUCUGUAAAGGAAAACCCUGAUCUGGUACAUUGUUAUGGUGUAAGAAGGUUUGUCCCUUAACAGAAAAAAAAUUGAAGCAUUUCCAUUUUGUGACAGGGUACCCCCCAGAUGUACUCCACGACCUCUUAGAAGGUGUAAUACCAUUGGAGUUAGCACUAUGUCUUAACCUGUUUGUAAAAAAGCAGUAUUUCACUCAGUUACAACUGAACAAUUUAAUGACAGAGUUUCCAUAUAAGUGGACCGACAAAACCGACCGCCCUCACCCAAUCCCACUAAAUCUUUCUUCUCGCAGAUCUAUCGGCGGAAACGCACACGAGAAUUGGACACUACUGAGAUUGUUACCAUUUAUAAUUGGUGCAAAGGUGCCAUUCACUGAACCCGCAAGUUCUCAUGACCUUAAAAGAUAUUACUGAACUCGUGGUAUCCCCUGUUCAUACCGAGAACAGUAUUAGUUAUCUCGAUAAAUGGAUUUCUGAACAUCGCCAUAGACUGUUGGAAGGUUUUCCUGACUUUAAGUUAACUCCGAAGUUCCAUUUCUUAGAACAUUAUCCGGACAUGAUAAAAUGCUUUGGACCUUUGGUUUGUGUCUGCACGAUGCGCUUCGAAGCAAAGCAUAGUUUUUUUAAACGUAUUGUUAGACACACCAACAGUUUCAGAAACAUUCUACUCUCUCUCAGCACAAAGCACCAAAUGAUGAUGGCUUAUCAUUUACAUGCUGAUGCUUUGAAACCUGCAUUAUGUGUAAGUAAAGUAACUAGUAUUCCAUUGGCAUUGCUGCAUGAAGAGAUACAGGAGUCUUUUUAAAAAGUAUAUCCAACACAAACCACGGUGGAGCUGACAAGUGCACUGUCAUAUCAUGGAACCAGAUAUGCAGUUGGGAUGAUUUUGCCCCAUGGAUCUACCAGUGGUCUACCCAAUUUUGUGGAGAUUUCACAAAUUGUGAUUGUGGGCAGUGAUCUAAACUUCAUUGUUAAGUUGCUCAACGGCUGGUAUUAUGAACAUUUUAGGGGGUUUGUUUUGGAGCACUCUGGGAAGGUGACCCUGCUGGGCAUAGAGUAACUUAGUGAUACAUACCUGCUGACAACAAGACGACAUGUUAUUGUCCAGUUUUAGGUGAGUUAAAAGCCUUAACUGUAUUUGUUUUUGUACAGAUGGACCGUGUUGUUGUGAAGGUGAUUAUUGAUCAUCAUAGUAAGAAGCUCACACUGUCAUCAGGGAUGCCAGAUACAGUGGAGCAAUUACAUAAGACUGUGAAGGACACUUUUCUGAUUCAUGAGGAAUUCACUCUUCAUUACCUUGACGAGGACUUUGGAGAUUUCUUCACAAUUCAUUCUACUAAGGAGGUUAAACAUAAGGGGACAAUCAAAGUGGUUGUCAUUCCUUCCAUAGUGCUCACAAUAGCAACACCAGAGACUGAAAAUGUGGCAGAUGCAGGCGAUGUGAGUGACACUUCCAGCUUUACUUCAAAAACGUUGCCUUCGCUGUCAUCCUCUAGUUCUGCAGACUACCAGUCAGAUGGCACAUCAUCAGUGUCAUCACAAGAUACUAUAUUGUUGAGCCCUUAAAGGGCAUUGUGGCCAAGUGAAGUUGAGAUUCCACUUUUUUCAGUUGCGACAGAGGCAGUACUCAGGAAUGCGAAUAAACAGUUUUUGAAAGAUGGCACUGUCCUCAACAACACCCGGGUCAAGUCUGAAAUAAUGGAAAGGCUGGCAGAUUACAUGUACAGUUACACUGCCUAUCCCACAGGCCUUCAGGUUGGACAGGUUGCAGAAGCCUUAGUCCAAAAACACCCAUGUCUAACAUAACCCGGAAGUCGCAACGGAUGGAUUGGAUGCAUGUACUGCCUCAAAUACAAAAUGGGGAAUUAUAGGUCCAAGUUAAGAAAUCUUGGAUUUCCUGAAGUCACGUGCAAUUCUCUUAAAAACAAGCGUCCUGGUGAGAGGAAACCAGCCCAAAAUGUAAAAAAGGCACGCAAAGGGGAAGUAAUGUAUCGCCCACAUUAUCCUUCAGGAGAAAGCAAUGAACAACAAGAGGAACAGCGUCUCACAAUCCUGUCCGACUUAAAGAAGAGAGAGAGGGCGACCGUCAGUGUAUUGAUGUCCAACACAUUUGCUCAUAGAAGACAGGAUGUUGUCAGUCUUCAACUGAGCAUCAGAGAGAUCAAAGAAAGGUGGCCUGCCUUGUUUGACAUGUCACAGUUUUUUUCAGGUCAACGCUGAGUUCCAUGGAAUUACCACUGUAAAUCUUGAGGCCAAAUUCAUGUUCAAGUUGGACCACUACACCCCGAAACUGCUUGCCAUCUUCCAAGCCAAGAAAGGUGCUGCUGGAGAGAGACAUCGUGCAGAGAUGAAUAUUCUACUGCAGAGUGGAAUUCCCAUUGAGAAAACUAGAGAAGUUGUCAUCAGAUGUCUCGUUGAUCACCUGGGAGAAGACGUGGGUGCCUUAAUCAAGGAAUUUGAGACUUCUGAUGAUUCAGCCAUCAAUGUGGAAGAAGAGCUGGGAGCAGAGAUGAUGGCUCUGUACCUUGUGCGAAGUGAAAAUGGACAAAUCAGGGACGUAGGGCUCGUCAUUGAGAGUUCCAUCGUACUCAACCACCUUGGGGAUCUCAGCAGAGCCUGCUGCUACUUGCUUGGGCUAACUUAUGCCUUGGAUCUUAAAUACCCCAAAACUCUAAAGUACACUUUUGAAGUAUUUCAAAAGAUGCUUGUUGAAGUGGAUGCUGGGAACCUGUCAACAAAGGUGCAAAGACUGAAAAACAAUGUGAUGAUAUAGUUGUCUGUUGGGUGAGCACAGAUGAGACUCAAACCCACUUGAACAUGCGUGUAAGGCAAAAACAGACUGUACCCUCAGGAAUUAGUGAGAUCCUUCUGGACAGAAACUUGGAUGAUCUGUGGCUUCAUUUUGGAAAACCUUUCCCAGGUGUUGUCUGUCCCUGCACAAUCUGACUUCUUUUUGAUUGCACAUUUACAAUUCAUUCCUGAGCCACAAGGCUUCAAAUUUUACUUAAAUGUUGUACGUCUAAAGGAGAACGUUUUUGUAUUUUCAGUUUGGAGUAUCUGGAAAUGUGAGAAAUGCAUGUGAUUAAAAAGCACAAGAGUUGACCAUUGCAUUGUCACAUCUAAACAUGAAGCCACAUAUGCUGGAGAUGAUGUUUGCCCUUAUGUUACAGAUUGUUAUAGACAUAGCUACUACUCAUCAAUGUGUUUAGUGUGAAGAUUACACCUAGCAUUAAUAUUCAUCUUUAACAUGUAUCUUUUUUUCAUGCCCAUUUGGCAAGAAGUAUUUGUUUGAUCUUGGGUAUACCGAAUUUCCUUUCCUGUAACGGUGUUGCUGUAGGUUGUGUCCACAUAACUUCAGUGGUAAGACAGAUGGACAUGUUGUUGAGGUAACUGUUAGUUGGUGAUGAUUGAGAUGGGGAAAAAACACAGUUGAACCCCUCUGUUGUUGUGAUACAACUCCAGUUCUUGUGGAGAAUUUUGAAGAAUUCUGAAAAGAAAAAAAUCCCUGUUGCACUUUUGGUUAUUACUUGCAAUAUGAAUAAUGUUGCUGCUAGUGUGUGCAGAUGUUGGGGGAAGAAAUGUAAUUUUCUGUGGGAAAAUUGUUUUAAAAUAAAGUUUUCCUGUUUUGUGA